rnacentral:rRNA from 1 species
UACGGAGGGUGCAAGCGUUGCUCGGAAUUAUUGGGCGUAAAGGGUAGGUAGGUGGUCUCAUUUGUCUGGGGUGAAAUCCUUGAGCUUAACUCAAGAAGUGCCUCAGAAACGGUGAGACUAGAGUUCUGGAGAGGGUCGUGGAAUUCCCGGUGUAGCGGUGAAAUGCGUAGAGAUCGGGAGGAACACCAGAGGCGAAGGCGGCGACCUGGACAGAUACUGACACUAAACUACGAAAGCAUGGGGAGCAAACAGG